AAAUAAUCCACCAAACACAAGUUUCCUAACUUUUUUUUCCGAGUUUAUAUUCCUUGAAGUCAACCGGAAGACUGAACCACACCGAUGGUGACGCCCAUCUGUAGAGAGCAGUGAGUUGACAAGGGAGCCACUGGAGAGGGGCUAAAGAGCAGCAGGUGGCUCCAGAACCGCAGGUUGCUGACCCCUGCCUUAAAAGGAACUGGCAAAUAGUGACCUCCUUUAUGAUCCUACAUAGUCCAUCUAUCUACUUUACAAAAUAUUCUGAGCGACAGUCAGCACCUGGCUGAAAGGCACGAUGGGAGUCCUACGGUGAAAGUCCACCAGGUCGUGCAGAGACCGGUGACGCCGUUUCUCCCCUAGUAUGAUGUAAUGACCGUCCUCAAGUGCACUGAUCAUGAAAUGUCUGCAGCGGUCCUCAGCACUGAGGGUCAAAGAGAUGGAAAGCUAAAGAUUAUAUGUCAAGAAGAGUGAACAGAGCCGGGCUUUUAACUGUCGGAGUGUAUGGCAGACAGCGAUAGACUUUGUGAGAACUUACUUCCUGGAAAUGAUCCCAUGAAACCAUUCUGGGACGACCCCGUUCCUGAUCACAACCCGGAGCUGGGACUCUGUGAACCAGGUCAGAGCAUCAUGCUG